rnacentral:rRNA from 1 species
UACGAAGGGGGCGAGCGUUGUUCGGAUUUACUGGGCGUAAAGGGCGCGCAGGCGGCUUGUCGCGUCGGGAGUGAAAUCCACUGGCUUAACUGGUGGCUUGCUUUCGAUACGGGCAGACUGGAGGUAUGCAGGGGGAGAACGGAAUUCCUGGUGUAGCGGUGAAAUGCGCAGAUAUCAGGAGGAACACCGGUGGCGAAGGCGGUUCUCUGGGCAUGUCCUGACGCUGAGGAGCGAAAGUGUGGGGAGCGAACAGG